AGUGAACGCUGGCGGUAGGCCUAACACAUGCAAGUCGAACGGCAGCACUGUAAGAGCUUGCUCUUACGGGUGGCGAGUGGCGGACGGGUGAGGAAUACAUCGGAAUCUACUUUUUUGUGGGGGAUAACGUAGGGAAACUUACGCUAAUACCGCAUACGACCUACGGGUGAAAGCAGGGGAUCUUCGGACCUUGCGCGAUUGAAUGAGCCGAUGUCGGAUUAGCUAGUUGGCGGGGUAAAGGCCCACCAAGGCGACGAUCCGUAGCUGGUCUGAGAGGAUGAUCAGCCACACUGGAACUGAGACACGGUCCAGACUCCUACGGGAGGCAGCAGUGGGGAAUAUUGGACAAUGGGCGCAAGCCUGAUCCAGCCAUACCGCGUGGGUGAAGAAGGCCUUCGGGUUGUAAAGCCCUUUUGUUGGGAAAGAAAAGCAGCAGGUUAACACCCCGCUGUUCUGACGGUACCCAAAGAAUAAGCACCGGCUAACUUCGUG
rnacentral:rRNA from 1 species